UUGACGUUCCCGCGCCCCUCCUCCCUUUGACGCCCGGAGCACGAGACACUCGACCCUGCUGUCGCGAAGACAAACAAAUGUUCACGUGCUCUAAUAUGACGGCACGAGACGGAACACCUUAACAUGUAACGAGGGAAAGGCAAAGGAGCGACAUUCAGGGGGUUCAGGGUUUCAGCACCAUGGACAGCUCUUUGGGGGGAAAGCUUGUGCUGCAUUCAAUUUUAUCGUUCAUUUUAAUCCACCUCCAUGAUCACAUGAUGCCGUUGGUCGUCUGCAGCAUGCCGAUUAGCUGCAAUGGGAUGAAGAAGAAACCGAGUGUUAGCAUUAAAACAGAGAGUAGAGGUUUCCAGGAGCAUCAGGAGCAUCAAGAGCAUCAGGAGCAUCAGGAGCAUCAAGAGCAUCAGGAGCAUCAGGAGCAUCAGGAGCAUCAGGAGCAUCAGGAGCAUCAGGAGCAUCAGGAGCUGCAUGGUCUGAAACCAAAGAGAGAUUAUUGAUUUUUAUUUGAACAUUAAAGUUAAAAUCAAAUAUUGUUUACAUGUUCUUUUAGACUUUAAGGUGUCUGUACACAUUUUCUGCAGUAACAGAACUUCAACUUUAAGUUUGUGGAUUUCACCUCCUCCUCCAAAGACUAAAAGUUAAAGAGCUAAAUACUGCACUAUUUCUACUGGCCAGCAGGGGGAGACUAAAUUGUAUAGAAGUCCACUGGAGAGGACACCA